rnacentral:rRNA from 1 species
GACAACGGCUGGCGGCGUGGAUUAGGCAUGCAAGUCGAACGGUAUCAUCCUUUCGGGGAUGAGAGAGUGGCGAACGGGUGAGUAACACGUAGGUGAUCUACCCUCAAGACGGGGACAACCCGAGGGAAACUUGGGCUAAUACCGGAUGUGAGCUAUCGUGAGAUAGUUUGAAAGGUGGCUUCGGCGUGCCGCUUGAGGAUGAGCCUGCGUCCUAUUAGCUAGUUGGUGAGGUAACGGCUCGACCGAGGCAGUGAUAGGUAGGCGGCCUUAACGGGUGGUCGCCCACACUGGGAUUGAGAUACGGCCCAGACUCCUACGGGAGGCAGCAGUCGAGAAUAGUCUACAAGUGGUUCGAAAGACUGAUAGUGCGACGCCGCGUGAACGAAGAAGCCCUUCGGGGUGUAAAGUUCUUUUAUAUGUGAGCAAGUGACUACCCAUAUUAAAUAGUAUGGGUGUAGAGAUAUUAGCAUAUGAAUAAGCAACGGCUAACUCCGUG